rnacentral:rRNA from 1 species
UACGAAGGGGGCUAGCGUUGCUCGGAAUCACUGGGCGUAAAGGGUGCGUAGGCGGGUCUUUAAGUCAGGGGUGAAAUCCUGGAGCUCAACUCCAGAACUGCCUUUGAUACUGAAGAUCUUGAGUUCGGGAGAGGUGAGUGGAACUGCGAGUGUAGAGGUGAAACUCGUAGAUAUUCGCAAGAACACCAGUGGCGAAGGCGGCUCACUGGCCCGAUACUGACGCUGAGGCACGAAAGCGUGGGGAGCAAACGGG